AUAUGAAUAUUCAGUGAGUGGCUUUGCAUUAAGUAAGUGCCCUUAAUCAGCUUUUCAGUUCAGUUUUAUUGGUUGCACGCACAGUCAGUUAUUUCAUCCAGAAAAUCUGAAGGCCCUACAAACUAACCAGUUGCAGGAAAAAAAGAUUCUACAUAAUGUUAAAGUAAAAGACAGAGUGAAAAGAUCAAGGUUCUGAACAAAAUUGGACGGAGAAGGCCUGUUUGACCUCAGGGUGAAUCAGACUGAACAACAAUUGUCUGUGGUUGCGGUAACUGAGAAGAGAGCGGCUGUGUGUCGUGAAUACCUGGGAAGCGUUCUCAUCCCGUGUGAGGCUGAAAAAAAUCUCCCUAUUACUGUUUCCAUUGGCUAAGGAAUGUGAUCCUUGUGAGGGCAUGAAAGAAUUUAUAUAAAUUGGACAAGCACAGCAAUGCACAUUAUGCCACAAUGUGACGCAAACCACAGUUAGUUAAUGUUAUUAUUGAACAUAUGGAAUAUGAAAAAAGAAUGAAAAUGAGAUAUCAAAAUUACAUAAUCAAUACUACUCUAAUUUAGAGGAAUGAUAAGGCAAUGUCUCCAAUGUACAAAGACCAAAACUUCUGACAAGUCAGCUCAGGAGGUCUAUAUUAACAAACUACUCUAGGCCUAGCACUGUGCAACACAUUGUGAGGGAUAAAUUCAAGGGAGAAGAAUAGGCAAGAAAGGACCAUUCCUCAUGAAAAAAAACAACACUGGGGCAUGUUCAAGUACUAUAUUGUAAGGCCAGGAUCAUAAAUCCUACAGGAAUAUAGAAAAGAGAUCACUCAAAAAUGAAAACAAAAUGAAAAGUUUUGAUGGUCUAUUUUAUGUUUGAUCAGUUAGGAAGCAACAUAAUGUGAUGAAAAAUUAUAUAAUUCUAGGAAAGUUACUCAUUUUCUUUGAGCUUCAGCUUCAUUAAUUGCAAGUUGAGAAUCACU
rnacentral:lncRNA from 1 species